AGAGACACCAGACAAGACACAGAGACAGCAACAGAGGAAUAGGAUUUGAUGGAGAGAGACACCAGACAAGACACAGAGACAGCAACAGAGGAAUAGGAUUUGAUGGAGAGAGACACCAGACAAGACACAGAGACAGCAACAGAAUAGGAUAUGACAGAGAGAGACACCAGACAAGACACUGAGACAGCAACAGACGACACAGAGAAAGUGAUGGAGAGAGACAGAAGAAUAGAGUUCCAGACAGUUGUAGAAUGUAUGCCAAGACACAUUGUAAGAGCUGUAAAGAGAGAGGGAGGGAGAGAGAACAGGCAGAACCUGAUAUGUAAAUGAGCAGAGCAAAUGAAACUAACUUUUGACGACCUGAUGAUCAUUCAGACUGUUUCUAUUGAGAGAUAAAAGGCUGGUUGAAUGAGUUGCCUAUGAAAGCUACUUCAUCUGUAAGAAAACAGGCGUCUGCACCAGUGACUGGGUCAGUGCUCUAAAAUGAGUCUCUCUGGGGAGAGAGAGGGGGCCCUGCCUCUAAAAUGAGUCUCUCUGGGGAGAGAGAGAAGGGGGCCCUGCCUCUAAAAUGCAUCUCUCUGGGGAACAUGACACCAAAGCUAAGAGGUGAGAUGACUAUUUUUGAUAUCAUUAUUAUGAGUUUAUUUCCAAAAUGUUCACAUUGUUUUUUUAAUCAGAAAUGGUUGCUUAUGGGUACCUUC